rnacentral:rRNA from 1 species
AUGCGGUGCCGACGUAGUUCUCUUCUACCACCUGGUCUUCCUAUUCUCCUUGCUUUCCGAUUGCCGGCGGCCGCAAGAGAAGCGACGGGCCUUUCGGCGGCUAGAGCAGGCCGCGGGACGGCAGUGGCGGCUUCGGCGGCCGAGCAGACGAUACCGACGACGGCGAUGAACCAGUGGAGGACGGACACCAAAGGCCGCGAAGGAAUCUCCGACAGGGACACGUUGGCUCGGCGUGGCAGAAGUAUCGAGAGGCCGCCGCCUGCACCACAGUCCACAGGGCCCCACACUCCGGCCACCGCUGGCUGUCGUCCCCGCACAACCUACCGCCUAGAUGCGUCCACCCCUGCAACACAGGGUUCCACACGGCAGCUGCUCGAGCCCGCGGCCAUCCCGUCGAUCUCGCGAUGA